GUCCACGCCGUAAACUAUGUCUACUAGCCGUUGGGAGACUUGAUCUUUUAGUGGCGCAGCUAACGCGAUAAGUAGACCGCCUGGGGAGUACGGUCGCAAGACUAAAACUCAAAUGAAUUGACGGGGGCCCCGCACAAGCGGUGGAGCAUGUGGUUUAAUUCGAUGCAACGCGAAGAACCUUACCAGGUCUUGACAUCCUGCUAACCUUUCAGAGAUGAGAGGGUGCCUUCGGGAGCGCAGAGACAGGUGCUGCAUGGCUGUCGU
rnacentral:rRNA from 1 species